rnacentral:rRNA from 1 species
GAUGAACGCUGGCGGCGUGCCUAAUACAUGCAAGUCGAGCGAACGGACGAGAAGCUUGCUUCUCUGAUGUUAGCGGCGGACGGGUGAGUAACACGUGGAUAACCUACCUAUAAGACUGGGAUAACUUCGGGAAACCGGAGCUAAUACCGGAUAAUAUUUUGAACCGCAUGGUUCAAAAGUGAAAGACGGUCUUGCUGUCACUUAUAGAUGGAUCCGCGCUGCAUUAGCUAGUUGGUAAGGUAACGGCUUACCAAGGCAACGACGCAUAGCCGACCUGAGAGGGUGAUCGGCCACACUGGAACUGAGGCACGGUCCAGACUCCUACGGGAGGCAGCAGUAGGGAAUCUUCCGCAAUGGGCGAAAGCCUGACGGAGCAACGCCGCGUGAGUGAUGAAGGUCUUCGGAUCGUAAAACUCUGUUAUUAGGAAAGAACAUAUGUGUAAGUAACUGUGCACAUCUUGACGGUACCUAAUCAGAAAGCCACGGCUAACUACGUG